rnacentral:rRNA from 1 species
AUUGAACGCUGGCGGCAUGCCUUACACAUGCAAGUCGAACGGUAACAGGUCUUCGGAUGCUGACGAGUGGCGAACGGGUGAGUAAUACAUCGGAACGUGCCCGAUCGUGGGGGAUAACGAAGCGAAAGCUUUGCUAAUACCGCAUAAGAUCCAAGGAUGAAAGCAGGGGACCGCAAGGCCUUGCGCGAACGGAGCGGCCGAUGGCAGAUUAGGUAGUUGGUGGGAUAAAAGCUUACCAAGCCGACGAUCUGUAGCUGGUCUGAGAGGACGACCAGCCACACUGGGACUGAGACACGGCCCAGACUCCUACGGGAGGCAGCAGUGGGGAAUUUUGGACAAUGGGCGAAAGCCUGAUCCAGCCAUGCCGCGUGCAGGAUGAAGGCCUUCUGGUUGUAAACUGCUUUUGUACGGAACGAAAAGACUCUGGUUAAUACCUGGGGUCCAUGACGGUACCGUAAGAAUAAGCACCGGCUAACUACGUGCCAGCCGCCGCCGUAAUAC